rnacentral:rRNA from 1 species
AUAAUGGGUCAGCGACUUAUAUUCUGUAGCAAGGUUAACCGAAUAGGGGAGCCGAAGGGAAACCGAGUCUUAACUGGGCGUUAAGUUGCAGGGUAUAGACCCGAAACCCGGUGAUCUAGCCAUGGGCAGGUUGAAGGUUGGGUAACACUAACUGGAGGACCGAACCGACUAAUGUUGAAAAAUUAGCGGAUGACUUGUGGCUGGGGGUGAAAGGCCAAUCAAACCGGGAGAUAGCUGGUUCUCCCCGAAAGCUAUUUAGGUAGCGCCUCGUGAAUUCAUCUCCGGGGGUAGAGCACUGUUUCGGCAAGGGGGUCAUCCCGACUUACCAACCCGAUGCAAACUGCGAAUACCGGAGAAUGUUAUCACGGGAGACACACGGCGGGUGCUAACGUCCGUCGUGAAGAGGGAAACAACCCAGACCGCCAGCUAAGGUCCCAAAGUCAUGGUUAAGUGGGAAACGAUGUGGGAAGGCCCAGACAGCCAGGAUGUUGGCUUAGAAGCAGCCAUCAUUUAAAGAAAGCGUAAUAGCUCACUGGUCGAGUCGGCCUGCGCGGAAGAUGUAACGGGGCUAAACCAUGCACCGAAGCUGCGGCAGCGACGCUGAUGCGUUGUUGGGUAGGGGAGCGUUCUGUAAGCCUGUGAAGGUGUGCUGUGAGGCAUGCUGGAGGUAUCAGAAGUGCGAAUGCUGACAUAAGUAACGAUAAAGCGGGUGAAAAGCCCGCUCGCCGGAAGACCAAGGGUUCCUGUCCAACGUUAAUCGGGGCAGGGUGAGUCGACCCCUAAGGCGAGGCCGAAAGGCGUAGUCGAUGGGAAACAGGUUAAUAUUCCUGUACUUGGUGUUACUGCGAAGGGGGGACGGAGAAGGCUAUGUUGGCCGGGCGACGGUUGUCCCGGUUUAAGCGUGUAGGCUGGUUUUCCAGGCAAAUCCGGAAAACUAAGGCUGAGGCGUGAUGACGAGGCACUACGGUGCUGAAGCAACAAAUGCCCUGCUUCCAGGAAAAGCCUCUAAGCAUCAGGUAACAUCAAAUCGUACCCCAAACCGACACAGGUGGUCAGGUAGAGAAUACCAAGGCGCUUGAGAGAACUCGGGUGAAGGAACUAGGCAAAAUGGUGCCGUAACUUCGGGAGAAGGCACGCUGAUAUGUAGGUGAAGUCCCUCGCGGAUGGAGCUGAAAUCAGUCGAAGAUACCAGCUGGCUGCAACUGUUUAUUAAAAACACAGCACUGUGCAAACACGAAAGUGGACGUAUACGGUGUGACGCCUGCCCGGUGCCGGAAGGUUAAUUGAUGGGGUCAGCGCAAGCGAAGCUCUUGAUCGAAGCCCCGGUAAACGGCGGCCGUAACUAUAACGGUCCUAAGGUAGCGAAAUUCCUUGUCGGGUAAGUUCCGACCUGCACGAAUGGCGUAAUGAUGGCCAGGCUGUCUCCACCCGAGACUCAGUGAAAUUGAACUCGCUGUGAAGAUGCAGUGUACCCGCGGCAAGACGGAAAGACCCCGUGAACCUUUACUAUAGCUUGACACUGAACAUUGAGCCUUGAUGUGUAGGAUAGGUGGGAGGCUUUGAAGUGUGGACGCCAGUCUGCAUGGAGCCGACCUUGAAAUACCACCCUUUAAUGUUUGAUGUUCUAACGUUGACCCGUAAUCCGGGUUGCGGACAGUGUCUGGUGGGUAGUUUGACUGGGGCGGUCUCCUCCUAAAGAGUAACGGAGGAGCACGAAGGUUGGCUAAUCCUGGUCGGACAUCAGGAGGUUAGUGCAAUGGCAUAAGCCAGCUUGACUGCGAGCGUGACGGCGCGAGCAGGUGCGAAAGCAGGUCAUAGUGAUCCGGUGGUUCUGAAUGGAAGGGCCAUCGCUCAACGGAUAAAAGGUACUCCGGGGAUAACAGGCUGAUACCGCCCAAGAGUUCAUAUCGACGGCGGUGUUUGGCACCUCGAUGUCGGCUCAUCACAUCCUGGGGCUGAAGUAGGUCCCAAGGGUAUGGCUGUUCGCCAUUUAAAGUGGUACGCGAGCUGGGUUUAGAACGUCGUGAGACAGUUCGGUCCCUAUCUGCCGUGGGCGCUGGAGAACUGAGGGGGGCUGCUCCUAGUACGAGAGGACCGGAGUGGACGCAUCACUGGUGUUCGGGUUGUCAUGCCAAUGGCACUGCCCGGUAGCUAAAUGCGGAAGAGAUAAGUGCUGAAAGCAUCUAAGCACGAAACUUGCCC